UAAGGGCCAGGGGAAGGCUGUGUGUGGAGCCACACCAGCAAGAGGCCGAGGCGUGGGAAAGGAUGGCAGCGCUGUGCUCACGAGCACAGCCAGGAUUCCUCUCCUUCACGCCCACAACCUCCACAAAUGACAGAAUUUCUCUCUUCAAUAAUGAAUUCUACUGCUUAAAGAUAAAGAUUACCCCUUUCUCCUAAACGUGUCAGGAGGAUGCUGUGAGAAAUCACUGAGGGAGAGCACACUGCAAACACAGAAAGCCUAGAAGGUCUUGAACCAUCCAUUCUGAACACCACUGAAGCACAGGGUACAGCAACACAUGGCAACUGUCUGUUCACAAGGUUUUGGCACAAUAAGUACAAACAAAUUUCCAUAAAUCUUAAA